rnacentral:rRNA from 1 species
CCUACGGGUGGCAGCAGUGAGGAAUAUUGGUCAAUGGGCGCGAGCCUGAACCAGCCAAGUCGCGUGAGGGAUGACGGCCCUAUGGGUUGUAAACUUCUUUUGUAGGGGAGUAAAAUGCGCCACGUGUGGCGUUUUGUGAGUACCCGAUGAAUAAGGAUCGGCUAACUCCGUGCCAGCAGCCGCGGUAAUACGGAGGAUACGAGCGUUAUCCGGAUUUAUUGGGUUUAAAGGGUGCGGAGGCGGGAUGUUAAGUCAGCCGGUAAAUUUGGGGGCUCAACCGUAUUAGUGCGGUUGAAACUGGCUGUCUUGAGUGAGUGAGAGGUAGGCGGAAUGCGUGGUGUAGCGGUGAAAUGCAUAGAUAUCACGCAGAACUCCGAUUGCGAAGGCAGCAUACCGGCGCGCAACUGACGCUGAUGCACGAAAGUGUGGGUAUCGAACAGGAUUAGAUACCCGAGUAGUC